CGGGAAUAUUGCGCAAUGGAGGAAACUCUGACGCAGUGACGCCGCGUGCAGGAAGAAGGUUUUCGGAUUGUAAACUGCUUUAGACAGGGAAGAAACAAGACAGUACCUGUAGAAUAAGCUCCGGCUAACUACGUGCCAGCAGCCGCGGUAAUACGUAGGGAGCGAGCGUUAUCCGGAUUUAUUGGGUGUAAAGGGUGCGUAGACGGGAAGGUAAGUUAGUUGUGAAAUCCCUCGGCUUAACUGAGGAACUGCAACUAAAACUGUCUUUCUUGAGUACUGGAGAGGAAAGUGGAAUUCCUAGUGUAGCGGUGAAAUGCGUAGAUAUUAGGAGGAACACCAGUGGCGAAGGCGACUUUCUGGACAGAAACUGACGUUGAGGCACGGAAGUGUGGGGAGUAAAC
rnacentral:rRNA from 1 species